rnacentral:lncRNA from 1 species
GUGGAAUAAUUGGAGACAGCUUAAAUGUCCUAGUGAGAGACUGUUAAGUCAUGUUACAGCCAUGUGUGGAAUACCAUGUAGCUAUUAAAAUUAUGCUAUAGACGUUAUGUUUAUUGACAUGGAAAGAUGUUCAUUAUAAUCAUUAGUGAAGAGGGCAGAUUUCCUGGAGAGUAUGUAGAGUAUCCCAAUUUUGUAAAUUAAAAAAAAUGUUUAAGCAUCUAAAGUUCACAAAAAAUUUUGGAAGGUAAUAUACCAAAAGAUUAUCUCUGGAUGAUGGAGUUAUUGAUUUUUUUAAAUUUUUUUCUGGUGUAUAUUCUAAUUUUUUUAACCAGUGAACGUGCAUUACUUGUGUGAUUUUUUUUUCAAGUAAAAUUAAGAAUAAACAAACAAACAAAAA